AUUGAACGCUGGCGGCAGGCCUAACACAUGCAAGUCGAGCGGAUGAAGGGAGCUUGCUCCUGGAUUCAGCGGCGGACGGGUGAGUAAUGCCUAGGAAUCUGCCUGGUAGUGGGGGAUAACGUCCGGAAACGGGCGCUAAUACCGCAUACGUUCUGAGGGAGAAAGUGGGGGAUCUUCGGACCUCACGCUAUCAGAUGAGCCUAGGUCGGAUUAGCUAGUUGGUGGGGUAAAGGCCUACCAAGGCGACGAUCCGUAACUGGUCUGAGAGGAUGAUCAGUCACACUGGAACUGGGACACGGUCCAGACUCCUACGGGAGGCAGCAGUGGGGAGUAUUGGACAAUGGGCGAAAGCCUGAUCCAGCCAUGCCGCGUGUGUGAAGAAGGUCUUCGGAUUGUAAAGCACUUUAAGUUGGGAGGAAGGGCAGUAAGUUAAUACCUUGCUGUUUUGACGUUACCAACAGAAUAAGCACCGGCUAACUUCGUG
rnacentral:rRNA from 1 species